rnacentral:rRNA from 1 species
UAACGCGUGGGGAACCUGCCCCGUACCGGGGGAUAACACCUGGAAACAGGUGCUAAUACCGCAUAACAGAAGGGGACGCAUGUUCCUUUCUUGAAAACUCCGGUGGUACGGGAUGGACCCGCGUCUGAUUAGCUGGUUGGCGGGGUAACGGCCCACCAAGGCGACGAUCAGUAGCCGGCCUGAGAGGGCGGACGGCCACAUUGGGACUGAGACACGGCCCAAACUCCUACGGGAGGCAGCAGUGGGGAAUAUUGCACAAUGGGGGAAACCCUGAUGCAGCGACGCCGCGUGAGUGAAGAAGCGUUUCGGCGCGUAAAGCUCUGUCAGCGGGGAAGAAACACGGUUCGCGAGAGCCGCGGACGGUACCCGACCAAGAAGCCCCGGCUAACUACGUGCCAGCAGCCGCGGUAAUACGUAGGGGGCAAGCGUUAUCCGGAUUCACUGGGUGUAAAAGGAGCGUAGACGGCGAGACAAGUCUGGAGUGAAAGGCCGGGGCCCAACCCCGGGACUGCUCUGGAAACUGCCUGUCUGGAGUACAGGAGAGGUAAGUGGAAUUCCUAGUGUAGCGGUGAAAUGCGUAGAUAUUAGGAGGAACACCAGUGGCGAAGGCGGCUUACUGGACUGUAACUGACGUUGAGGCUCGAAAGCGUGGGGAGCAAACAGGAUUAGAUACCCUGGUAGUCCACGCCGUAAACGAUGAUCAC